AUUGAACGCUGGCGGCAUGCCUUACACAUGCAAGUCGAACGGUAACAGGUCUUCGGACGCUGACGAGUGGCGAACGGGUGAGUAAUACAUCGGAACGUGCCCGAGAGUGGGGGAUAACGAGGCGAAAGCUUUGCUAAUACCGCAUACGAUCUCAGGAUGAAAGCAGGGGACCGCAAGGCCUUGCGCUCACGGAGCGGCCGAUGGAAGAUUAGGUAGUGGGUGGGAUAAAAGCUUACCAAGCCGAUGAUCUGUAGCUGGUCUGAGAGGACGACCAGCCACACUGGGACUGAGACACGGCCCAGACUCCUACGGGAGGCAGCAGUGGGGAAUUUUGGACAAUGGGCGCAAGCCUGAUCCAGCCAUGCCGCGUGCAGGAUGAAGGCCUUCGGGUUGUAAACUGCUUUUGUACGGAACGAAAAGACUCUGGUUAAUACCUGGGGUCCAUGACGGUACCGUAAGAAUAAGCACCGGCUAACUACGUGCCAGCCGCCGCCGUAACAC
rnacentral:rRNA from 1 species